CCAAGCAUCCAUUUAUCUUCUUUUCAGUUCUUUCUUAACCUGCCCCAAGGGAACUUGGAGCCACACGCCGCCUUGCAGUGCCAGAUUUUUUUCUGGACAUGAAAUACAGCGGCAACAGCUGGUAAGCCAAUCUCCAUUUGGCUGAACGUUUGAAGCCGCAGUGGAAGUGCAGCAGCAAGGGGGCUACGGUGC
rnacentral:sRNA from 12 species